GACGAACGCUGGCGGCGGGCUUAACACAUGCAAGUCGAACGGAAAGGCCCUGCUUUUUUGUGGUGCUCGAGUGGCGAACGGGUGAGUAACACGUGAGUAACCUGCCCUUUACUUUGGGAUAAUUUCAGGAAACUGGGGCUAAUACCGGAUAGUAGCUCCUGCUGCCUGGUGGGGGUUGGAAAGUUUCGGCGGUUGGGGAUGGACUCGCGGCUUAUCAGCUUGUUGGUGGGGUAGUGGUUUACCAAGGCUUUGACGGGUAGCCGGCCUGGGAGGGUGACCAGCCACAAUGGGACUGAGGUAGGGACCAGACUGCAACAGGAGACAACAGUGGCGAAUAUUGCACAACGGGCGGAAGCCUAAUGCAGCAACGCUGCGUGCGGAAAGACGGCCUUCGGGUUGUAAACCGCUUUAGCCUGUGACGAAGCGUGAGUGACGGUAAUGGGUAAAGAAGCACCGGCUAACUACGUG
rnacentral:rRNA from 1 species